AGAGCGAACGCUGGCGGCAGGCCUAACACAUGCAAGUCGAGCGCCCGUAGCAAUACGGGAGCGGCAGACGGGAUAGUAACACGUGGGAACGCGCCCUUCGGUUCGGAAUAACUCAGGGAAACUUGAGCUAAUACCGGAUACGCCCUUACGGGGAAAGAUUUAUUGCCGAAGGAACGGCCCGCGUCCGAUUAGCUAGUUGGUGAGGUAAUGGCUCACCAAGGCGACGAUCGGUAGCUGGUCUGAGAGGAUGACCAGCAUCACUGGGACUGAGACACGGCCCAGACUCCUACGGGAGGCAGCAGUGGGGAAUAUGGACAAUGGGCGCAAGCCUGAUCCAGCCAUGCCGCGUGGAUGAUGAAGGCCUUAGGGUUGUAAAGUCCUUUUUAACGGGGAAGAUAAUGACGGUACCCGUAGAAUAAGCCCGGCUAACUUCGCGCCAGCAGCCGC
rnacentral:rRNA from 1 species